rnacentral:misc_RNA from 1 species
AAGUCGUAACAAGGUUUCCGUAGGUGAACCUGCGGAAGGAUCAUUACAGAAUAAACCUGGUGGGUUGUUGCUGGCUCUCAAUUGGGCAUUGUGCAUACCUGUCAUCUUUAUCUUUCCACCGUGUGCACUCUCUGUAGAACUGGAAUAAACAAUAAAGCCUAGUCACUUGUUGACUACUGGAAUGUUGCUGAUUCUUCAGCUCAUUCUGUAUCUGGCUGUUUAUUCUAGGCUCUACGAUAUCUCUAUAUACACCAUGUAUGUUAAUGAACGCAAUCAAUGGGCCCAUGAAGCCUAUAAACCUAUAAUACAACUUUCAGCAACGGAUCUCUUGGCUCUC